AUUGAACGCUGGCGGCAUGCUUUACACAUGCAAGUCGAACGGUAACAGGGAGCUUGCUCCGCUGACGAGUGGCGAACGGGUGAGUAAUGCAUCGGAACGUACCCAGUCGUGGGGGAUAACGUAGCGAAAGUUACGCUAAUACCGCAUACGUCCUGAGGGAGAAAGCGGGGGGACCGUAAGGCCUCGCGCGAUUGGAGCGGCCGAUGUCGGAUUAGCUAGUUGGUAGGGUAAAGGCCUACCAAGGCGACGAUCCGUAGCGGGUCUGAGAGGAUGAUCCGCCACACUGGGACUGAGACACGGCCCAGACUCCUACGGGAGGCAGCAGUGGGGAAUUUUGGGACAAUGGGCGAAAGCCUGAUCCAGCCAUGCCGCGUGAGUGAAGAA
rnacentral:rRNA from 1 species